GUUCACCCUCGAUCAUCUCCUUGUAAUUGUGGUGGAGGCAGGUUUAUGCUGAAGACAAUAUUUUAUAUAUAUAUAUUUUAUUUCACCUUUAUUUAGCUAGGUAGGCAAGUUGAGAGCAAGUAUUCAUUUACAAUUGCGACCUGGCCAAGAAUAAAGCAAAGCAGUUCGACACAUACAACAACACAGAGUUAGACAUGGAAUAAACAAAACAUACAGUCAAUAAUACAGUUGAAGAAAAUCUAUAUACAGUGUGUGCAAAUGAGGUAAUGCCUCCAUGGACAUUGCAGAGGAAAAAUACACAAAGGUGACUACAGUAUGCUGUUGAGCAUGUCUUGAACCACUGAGCCUCACCAGACAGAGUUAAAUCAAUCAAAAGUCCCCAUCCAUCAACUUCCUGUCCUCUUCUACCUGACUCCCAAGAUGCACUGCUUCCAUAAUCCGCGCUCAAAUGGACCACGUCCCACGCCGAUGCACCUUACCGCCUUCGGCCGCCUUCCACUCCACACUGAGCCUCGUUUGCUCGCUCACGUACUUGUGUCCCUCCGCCAUGUCCGCUGUGCAACCAACCCCAUUACUUGUCAAGAGAAUAUCUAUGUUUCCUCUCUGAUCGAUGAGCCAAUCCAUAACCAGAGAGGACGUACCAUUUACUUUUACUGCUCUCCAUUUCAUAUUUACUACUCUUUGUCAAGGGGUGUUUAUCAUUCAAGUAAUAUGGGUUAUUUGCUGGAAUAGCAUGCCAUUGCCAUUUCACAGGAGGUAACAUUUCCUUGUGUGAAUAGCAUGUUGUGAUGGUUAUAGUGUUUUACAUGAUAACGGGCUGAAUGCAUAACACAUUGGUAUACACUCCAGUGUUAAAUCAACACUGACUGUUAAAUGUAACACUGGGCCAGUGUCUAUACGGG
rnacentral:lncRNA from 1 species